GGGUCGGUCGGGCAGGUGGUGAGCCCAAGGGUCUGUAAAACCCUCGCCUUCGGCUGUGGCGGUUCGAUUCCGCCCCGGCCCACCA
rnacentral:tRNA from 1 species